ACUGAAAAAGUCCAUCAGCAAAGUCAGUUUUGCGUGCUUGUGUAUGUCAGCCCCCCACCCCCACCCCUUUUCCUUCCUCUUCUGUUUUCUCUGCACUUCCUCCUCCUCCGAGCAUCUUCGACACGCUAGGCUACCCGGCUGCUAGGAGCGCAGAUCUGGUGGGCCUGGUGGUUCCUGUUCGCACGACCCACGGCGCCGCGCGGUCGACACAGCACCGAGGGGCCCCGAAGGCAAUCCGGGGCCGCAGACGAGGCGAGCCCUCGCCUUUGAGAGCACGGAGUCGCAUCUCUUGGAUGUUGGGGGAGGUAAACUUUUCCAGUCCAGGAAUGGGGUCCAGCGGGAACCGAAAGUCGUCAGACAACCUCUUUCCCUGUCACCUAGGCUCAGGCAAGCAAGUACUUGGACUUGGGGCAAUUAGGUGCUCCGGUGGAACCCAAAAGAAAUGUAAGAACUAAAAACAACGAAGCAGAAGCCCUAGGAAGCCUCACGGAGGAUGGUUUCUACUCGCCUGUCCCUGAACUCUGCUCUCCUCGGGGGUGGCAUACCCCUCCGCCCCAAGACCCUACCUCCCAAACCCCCCCCCCCCCCCGCCCCGCCGCCGGACUCGCGCGCGCGCGCGCGCACACACAC